rnacentral:rRNA from 1 species
AUGAGGUCUAGGGUGGUUUAUUUUGUCUGCCGGGGCAGCAGUUUCUCAGACACAUUAAAGGUGUUCGAGCAAAUGUUGGUACUUGGUACAGUAUUGUGGCUGAUGGACGUGUGGGCUGCAGAGAAGAGAGGAGAUCAGCAAAUCUCACACUUGUCUUGCUGGUCACUUACAUCCCACUGUGUAGAUCCAGGCAUGCUGAGCAUUAGGAGCUCAUUGACGCUGAUAUUCUUAUCUUUUAGUGAUGGAUCUAGAUUGGUAAGAGCGUUUCAGCCUACAUGUUCAUCUGGUUUUGGCACUUACAUCGUAGGAGAUGGGAUCAUUUUAGGUUUACAUGUGUGCUUUGUGGCAUGCUUUUGUGGUGCUGGGCCCAUAUUGACGAUCAUAAUUAUCAUGUUAUAA